AGCUUUGCGCAGUGGCAGUAUCGUAGCCAAUGAGGUUUAUCCGAGGUGCGAUUAUGGCUAAUUCUACUCCCCCCCCUCUUUUAAUUGAAGGUGCAUGCAUCACCAGAGAGAGAGAGAGAGAGAAAGCUCCUUGCACUGGGG